GACGUACGGGUGCGUAACACGUAUGCAACCUACCCAUAACUGGAGGAUAGCUCCCCGAAAGGGGAAUUAACCCUCCAUAGUAUAAUUGACUGGCAUCAGUUGAUUAUUAAAACUCCGGUGGUUAUGGAUGGGCAUGCGUCUGAUUAGUUAGUUGGCGGUGUAACGGACCACCAAGACGAUGAUCAGUAGGGGAACUGAGAGGUUGAUCCCCCACACUGGCACUGAGAUACGGGCCAGACUCCUACGGGAGGCAGCAGUAGGGAAUAUUGGUCAAUGGAUGCAAGUCUGAACCAGCAUGCCGCGUACAAGGAAAGAAGGCCCUAUGGGUUGUAAAACUGCUUUUGCCAGGGGAUAAAAUGGGCGUUGCGCGCCUUAAAUUGAAGGUACCUGGGUGAAUUAGCCCACGGGUUAACUACGUGCC
rnacentral:rRNA from 1 species